AGCGAACGCUGGCGGCACGCCUAACACAUGCAAGUCGAACGAAGUCUUCGGACUUAGUGGCGGACGGGUGAGUAACACGUGGGAACGUGCCUUUAGGUUCGGAAUAACUCAGGGAAACUUGUGCUAAUACCGAAUGUGCCCUUCGGGGGAAAGAUUUAUCGCCUUUAGAGCGGCCCGCGUCUGAUUAGCUAGUUGGUGAGGUAAAGGCUCACCAAGGCUACGAUCAGUAGCGGGUCUGAGAGGAUGACCAGCCACAUUGGGACUGAGACACGGCCCAAACUCCUACGGGAGGCAGCAGUGGGGAAUCUUGCGCAAUGGGCGAAAGCCUGACGCAGCCAUGCCGCGUGGAUGAUGAAGGUCUUAGGAUUGUAAAAUCCUUUCACCGGUGAAGAUAAUGACUGUAGCCGGAGAAGAAGCCCCGGCUAACUUCGUGCCAGCAGCCGCCGCCGUAA
rnacentral:rRNA from 1 species